CACGUAGGGCGCAAGCGUUGUCCGGAAUCAUUGGGCGUAAAGAGCUCGUAGGCGGUUUGUCACGUCUGCUGUGAAAACUCGGGGCUUAACCCCGAGCUUGCAGUGGAUACGGGCAGACUAGAGGUAAGUAGGGGAGAAUGGAAUUCCCGGUGUAGCGGUGAAAUGCGCAGAUAUCGGGAGGAACACCGGUGGCGAAGGCGGUUCUCUGGGCCUUACCUGACGCUGAGGAGCGAAAGCGUGGGGAGCGAACAGG
rnacentral:rRNA from 1 species